rnacentral:lncRNA from 1 species
AGAGGAACUGAAGCGGUGUUUGACGAUAGUGUUCUCGAUCAGCGUAGGAAAUCCUCUUCUUCCUUGUUGGAAAGAUGAAGAACCUUUGAACUUGUAAGUUUCUUAAUCUUUUUCAAAAUGUUUAAGGCAAAUCUACAGCGGGGUAUAUAGUAAGAAAUUUUUCCAGGCAGGGGGCGCCACCUCUGUGUUUUGAUUUUUUGGUUCACGCCAUUACAGUCCGUACAGAUCCAUGUGAGUCCUUGAGCUUUUAUGAAAAUUAGGGGAAUUUCUGUUUAAAAUCGGAGAGUCAUAAGUUCUAGCUAUAGCAUUCUUCUUCCUAUUGACACUAAAAAGGACGGGAAAAGUAACUUCUGAAGCUCUGUAACUUGAUCCCAGAAAAAAAUAGGGUUAAGCAUAAUGACCUUGAUGUGACCAAUUGCAAGUGAUUACAAGUGAAGAUUAACCUUAAAUGGUGUUUUUCUAUUUUUUUCUGCCCAUUAAUUGAUGCACAACUUUUUCGGUUGUAUUGUAAUAAUAAAUCUUAUCGCAAAGGCAAACCUCUCUAUUUUUAUCAUUUAAUUUAUUUUUUGUUUUUCUUGCAGGAAAGAAUCAUGCACUUCUCUCUCACCAUGGGAUGUGAAGACGGGGUUAUCAGGACUUGAGGUGACAAUGCCAAAUGGUGAUAACGUGCUUAAGACGAUUGCAUCAACGGUUCUGCGAUUACAAGACAAGCUCCUUGAUGCUUGCGAGGAUGACACGCAGUCUUUGUUCGUACUGAUUUGGUAUUUAUGAUGUACUAUUGUUCGGCCUUUACCGAAUAAAAAUGACAUUGACAAUCAUUUCCGAAUGUAUAUCACAAUAAAGAAGCAACUAGACAAUAGAUUAAGCAAGGAAAAGGCCAUCUGAGGUAUUUGUUGAUCGAACGCGUUGCAUUUCAGCAUCGAUAUCGGCAAAUAUAUUCCUCACCGGUGUUCACUAAGACCCAUCAACAGAUCCUAUCAAAAUUAGUUACCUUAGCCACAAGCAGAUAUAGCCAGGUGCGAAUUAUGUCGCAGUCGAAAGUUUUCCAAACUUUAGAGUAUUACCAAUAUUCAUACUUGACAAUCAUUCCAGAGUUAAAACGACUGUUAUCCCUUGACCUAACCAGUAUCACGAGCAAUUCAAGGGAUCGUUACAUCUUUUAUUAGGUGAUAAAACGGAUCGACCUUUAAUCGUGAAGUAUGACUGGGAGGUUUUAUUAACUGUAUGGCCUACCAUUGUUCAAACCAUUCCAUCUGAGAAUUAUCUGUGAUUCACCUCUGGAGAGGUUGACUGAUGUUGUCCGUAAAAAUUUCCCUACGAUAGGAAUAACCCAAGAGGUAUGUAUAUUGAGUUUUCACCUGCUUAUCUUUUUUUAUCAUGAAUUUUUUCUACUUUCAUUUUGCUUUCAACCCAUUUGCAUACAGUUGAGUCUACUUGUCAGUUGAUAUGCACAAAUC